GCGGAGGAAAAGAAACCAACUGGGAUUGCCUCAGUAACGGCGAGUGAAGCGGCAACAGCUCAAAUUUGAAAUCUGGCGCCUUGGGCGUCCGAGUUGUAAUUUGUAGAGGGAGUCUCGGGUUAAGGGUCGGUCCAAGUGCCUUGGAACAGGAUACCGAAGAGGGUGAGAGUCCCGUAUCCGGCCGACGCCAGCGCCCGUGUGAGGCCCCUUCGACGAGUCGAGUUGUUUGGGAAUGCAGCUCUAAAUGGGUGGUAAAUUCCAUCUAAAGCUAAAUACUGGCCAGAGACCGAUAGCGCACAAGUAGAGUGAUCGAAAGAUGAAAAGCACUUUGAAAAGAGAGUCAAACAGUACGUGAAAUUGUUGAAAGGGAAGCGUAUGUGGGCAGACUUGGACGCUGGAUUCAGGCCGCCUUCUGGCGGGUGUAUUUUCCAGCGGACAGGCCAGCAUCGGUUCUGAGGGCCGGACAAAGACGAAGGGAAUGUGGCUCCUCUCUGGGGAGUGUUAUAGCCCGGCGUGCAAUGCGGCCACUUGGACCGAGGACCGCGCAUUU
rnacentral:rRNA from 1 species